UACGUAGGAGGCAAGCGUUGUCCGGAUUUAUUGGGCGUAAAGAGCGUGUAGGCGGUUUGGUAGGUCCGCUGUGAAACUCGAGCUCAACCUCGAGACGCCGGUGGAAACCAUCAGACUAGAGUCCGGAAGAGGAGAGUGGAAUUCCUGGUGUAGCGGUGAAAUGCGCAGAUAUCAGGAAGAACACCCGUGGCUAAGGCGGCUCUCUAGUACGGUACUGACGCUGAGACGCGAAAGCGUGGGGAGCGAACAGG
rnacentral:rRNA from 1 species